GACGAACGCUGGCGGCGUGCUUAACACAUGCAAGUCGAACGAUGAAGCUGGAGCUUGCUCCAGCGGAUUAGUGGCGAACGGGUGAGUAACACGUGAGAAAUCUGCCCUUGACUCUGGGAUAACUGCGGGAAACUGUAGGUAAUACCGGAUACUUUCACCGGGGGGCAUCCUCUGGUGAUGAAAGAAUUUCGGUCAAGGAUGAGCUCGCGGCCUAUCAGCUUGUUGGUGAGGUAACGGCUCACCAAGGCGACGACGGGUAACCGGCCUGAGAGGGUGACCGGUCACACUGGGACUGAGACACGGCCCAGACUCCUACGGGAGGCAGCAGUGGGGAAUAUUGCACAAUGGGCGCAAGCCUGAUGCAGCAACGCCGCGUGAGGGACGACGGCCUUCGGGUUGUAAACCUCUUUUAGUAGGGAAGAAGCGAAAGUGACGGUACCUGCAGAAAAAGCACCGGCUAACUACGUGCCAGCCGCCGCAGUAA
rnacentral:rRNA from 1 species